CCUACGGGUGGCUGCAGUGGGGAAUAUUGAACAAUGGGGGGAACCCUGAUCCAGCCAUGCCGCGUGUGUGAAGAAGGCCCUCGGGUUGUAAAGCACUUUCAGUGAGGAAGAACGCCUGGUGGUUAAUACCCAUCAGGAAAGACAUCACUCACAGAAGAAGCACCGGCUAACUCCGUGCCAGCAGCCGCGGUAAUACGGAGGGUGCGAGCGUUAAUCGGAAUUACUGGGCGUAAAGCGCGCGUAGGUGGCUUGAUAAGCCGGUUGUGAAAGCCCCGGGCUCAACCUGGGAACGGCAUCCGGAACUGUCAAGCUAGAGUGCAGGAGAGGAAGGUAGAAUUCCCGGUGUAGCGGUGAAAUGCGUAGAGAUCGGGAGGAAUACCAGUGGCGAAGGCGGCCUUCUGGACUGACACUGACACUGAGGUGCGAAAGCGUGGGUAGCAAACAGGAUUAGAUACCCCGGUAGUC
rnacentral:rRNA from 1 species